GAUGAACGCUGGCGGCGUGCCUAAUACAUGCAAGUCGAGCGAACAGACGAGGAGCUUGCUCCUCUGACGUUAGCGGCGGACGGGUGAGUAACACGUGGAUAACCUACCUAUAAGACUGGGAUAACUUCGGGAAACCGGAGCUAAUACCGGAUAAUAUAUUGAACCGCAUGGUUCAAUAGUGAAAGACGGUUUUGCUGUCACUUUUAGAUGGAUCCGCGCCGCAUUAGCUAGUUGGUAAGGUAACGGCUUACCAAGGCAACGAUGCGUAGCCGACCUGAGAGGUUGAUCGGCCACACUGGAACUGAGACACGGUCCUGACUCCUACGGGAGGCGGCAGUAGGGAAUCUUCCGCAAUGGGCGAAAGCCUGACGGAGCAACGCCGCGUGAGUGAUGAAGGUCUUCGGAUCGUAAAACUCUGUUAUUAGGGAAGAACAAAUGUGUAAGUAACUAUGCACGUCUUGACGGUACCUAAUCAGAAAGCCACGGCUAACUACGUG
rnacentral:rRNA from 1 species